UCUGGCACCAUUGUCAGGACACACGUUCCCGUAUGUUGUCAGGUCUGUGGCACAAAUUGGAAGUCAUACCUUUCUGGGUUCACAAAUGUUCUCGGAGUCAUUGCUUAAUGUGUACAGAGUUUCUGUUUGUGGUGAUGAAAAAUUUUGGAAAUAGAUCACAGACAAUGAUUGCACAACAUUGUGAAUGUCAUUAAUGCCACUGAAUUAGUAGUACACUUAAAAGUGACUAAAAUGGAAAAUUUUAUGGUACCCUAUACCACAAUUUUUAAAAAUAGUUUAAAAAUAUGGGGGAGGACACUUAUUCUAUCUUAUGGAAUGAAGUGUUGCCCAAUUCUAGAAUUGUAAAUAAAGCCAAUUGAGAUCUUUAAAUGUGUUGUAUUUUGACAGAUCUGGACACCGUGAAGGGGCCUUAAGGAGGCUGCUGACCGCAGGACCCCUUGAGGAACAGAGGAAAAGGCCCCACUAAUCACUUGAAGGGGCACUGUGCCUUCCUCACGGAGCCCCAAGAGUCGUGAGUCCCUCUCAAGUCUGAGUUCUGCUCUUUUUUCGCAUCUGUGCACCCUGAUCUAUGGCUUUUGGAACACCAAGGUGCUUCCCUGUCUAUAAGACCAACCUCUUCUGCUCAGCUCAUUGGAACACUUAAUCAAUCUAUUUUAUGGAAUGAAGCAUUGCCUGAUUCUAGAACUGCAAAUGAAGCCAACUGAGAUCCUUAAAGGAAAAAAUAGGCCUUCAGACAUUAUGUGCCCACAUUCUAAGGAAGAAAAAGGGAAGCACAGAGGAGCCAGAAAACUCUUAACAUUUCUGGAAGAUUCUGGAACAUUUUUGCCAAGAAAUAUAUUUGCAGCAGUGUCUGAGUGAAAGUUAGUAGCUCUAAGAGUUUAUGAACUUACUGUCUUCUAUUGUAAUCUUCUGGCAUUGAAUUUGUGCUUAUUUUGUUCCUUUCAGUAAAAAUAAGUUAUAAAAAAAAUAAUACAAAUGCUAUUCAUCAUGGGGAAAAAAUUACACACUGUGUUUCCAGGGAGCCCUGCUGUUUUCAUUUUAUUCCCUCCCAUUCCCUGUUGCCAACAAGAACAGCUCAGCUGUUCUCUGACAUAUAUAAGACAUCUGCUUGUACACAUCUGGAUACCAAAGGGGAUAGAUUUAAUUUUAGACCAUCUAACUGCUUUCAUCAGAGAAAGGACAGAAUUUAAGGGGGAAAAGAAAG